AUGCCUCUUAAGAAACCAAGAGUUGAAAUCCCAGAUGAUGAUGAUGAGUUCUUCACAGUCCCUGAUCUAGGCUGAGUGUGGAUGCAAUUAUACUUGUUUGUUGACAGGUCAAUUAACUAUAUGUUUGUACUUUCAUAUGUACGUAUAAUUAAUAACGUACACAUACAUUGCAUCGGUCUUGGAUGGCAAAAUGGUCAUGGGAAUACUCAAAUCUAUAUUUUCUUCCAUUGACCUGUGAAUUGCUUGUUUUAGGAUGCUGAACUCAUCACCCUAUGCACUGGGGUAUACUAUUCAUUCUGUUCAGUGCACCUCCUUUCAUGUUAUGCUGCCAGUGAAUCACGUCUCUAAUUAUCUUGGAAAAUGCUUGUCUUAGUACUUGCAGUCACUCUUAAGAUUUACAUUUAUUAGGUUUGAGAUAUGAAUUUUAGCAUUUGCAAGUUCUUUUCCUAUCUUAAGAUUACAAUUUUUUUGUUAAAAAAAAAAACUGUCUUAGAAAAUGUCCCAGAAUUUCUUAUGGGAGCUGAUAUUAAGAUGAGGUUAAACAAACUCUUGCCUGGCAUGAUUGUUAAUGUUCGAAUUUGAGUACUCACAAGUUUUGGGUAAGUUCAAAACUGUAGGCAGAAAAGAGGUCAUAAGU
rnacentral:lncRNA from 1 species